UUGCACGCUGGCGGCAGGCCUAACACAUGCAAGUCGAACGGUAACAGGAAGCAGCUUGCUGCUUUGCUGACGAGUGGCGGCCGGGUGAGUAAUGUCUGGGAAACUGCCUGAUGGAGGGGGAUAACUACUGGAAACGGUAGCUAAUACCGCAUAACGUCGCAAGACCAAAGAGGGGGACCUUAGGGCCUCUUGCCAUCGGAUGUGCCCAGAUGGGAUUAGCUAGUAGGUGGGGUAACGGCUCACCUAGGCGACGAUCCCUAGCUGGUCUGAGAGGAUGACCAGCCACACUGGAACUGAGACACGGUCCAGACUCCUACGGGAGGCAGCAGUGGGGAAUAUUGCACAAUGGGCGCAAGCCUGAUGCAGCCAUGCCGCGUGUAUGAAGAAGGCCUUCGGGUUGUAAAGUACUUUCAGCGGGGAGGAAGGGAGUAAAGUUAAUACCUUUGCUCAUUGACGUUACCCGCAGAAGAAGCACCGGCUAACUCCGUG
rnacentral:rRNA from 1 species